rnacentral:rRNA from 1 species
UACGUAGGGCGCGAGCGUUGUCCGGAUUUAUUGGGCGUAAAGAGCUCGUAGGCGGCUUGUCGCGUCGUCCGUGAAAACCUGUGGCUCAACUGCAGGCUUGCGGGCGAUACGGGCAGGCUAGAGUUCGGUAGGGGAGACUGGAAUUCCUGGUGUAGCGGUGAAAUGCGCAGAUAUCAGGAGGAACACCGGUGGCGAAGGCGGGUCUCUGGGCCGAUACUGACGCUGAGGAGCGAAAGCGUGGGGAGCGAACAGG